AAUAAACAAGCAAUAGGGGAUGUAGCUCAAAUGGUAGAGC
rnacentral:sRNA from 1 species